rnacentral:rRNA from 1 species
CCUACGGGUGGCAGCAGUGGGGAAUAUUGGACAAUGGGCGGAAGCCUGAUCCAGCAACGCCGCGUGAGGGAUGACGGCCUUCGGGUUGUAAACCUCUUUCACCAUUGACGCGGUAGGUGGGGAAGAAGCACCGGCCAACUACGUGCCAGCAGCCGCGGUAAUACGUAGGGUGCGAGCGUUGUCCGGAAUUAUUGGGCGUAAAGGGCUCGUAGGCGGUUUGUCGCGUCGGGAGUGAAAACACGGGGCUUAACUCUGUGCUUGCUUUCGAUACGGGCAGACUAGAGGUAUGCAGGGGAGAACGGAAUUCCUGGUGUAGCGGUGAAAUGCGCAGAUAUCAGGAGGAACACCGGUGGCGAAGGCGGUUCUCUGGGCAUUCCUGACGCUGAGGAGCGAAAGUGUGGGGAGCGAACAGGAUUAGAUACCCUUGUAGUC